rnacentral:rRNA from 1 species
CCCUGCCCUUUGUACACACCGCCCGUCGCUACUACCGAUUGAAUGGUUUAGUGAGGCCUCGGGACUGGCGCGAACGGGUGCAAGUCUGUUCGCGCCGGGAACUUGGUCAAACUUGAUCAUUUAGAGGAAGUAAAAGUCGUAACAAGGUUU